UACGGGGGGGGGCAAGCGUUGUUCGGAAUUACUGGGCGUAAAGGGCUCGUAGGCGGCCAACUAAGUCAGACGUGAAAUCCCUCGGCUUAACCGGGGAACUGCGUCUGAUACUGGAUGGCUUGAGUUCGGGAGAGGGAUGCGGAAUUCCAGGUGUAGCGGUGAAAUGCGUAGAUAUCUGGAGGAACACCGGUGGCGAAGGCGGUUCUCUGGGCAUUACCUGACGCUGAGGAGCGAAAGCGUGGGGGAGCAAACAGG
rnacentral:rRNA from 1 species